rnacentral:rRNA from 1 species
UACAGAGGGUGCAAGCGUUGUUCGGAAUUAUUGGGCGUAAAGCGCGUGUAGGCGGCUUGGCAAGUCGGGUGUGAAAUCCCUCAGCUCAACUGAGGAAGUGCGCCCGAAACUGCUUUGCUUGAGUGUCGGAGAGGAUGGCGGAAUUCCCCAAGUAGAGGUGAAAUUCGUAGAUAUGGGGAGGAACACCGGUGGCGAAGGCGGCCAUCUGGACGAUUACUGACGCUGAGACGCGAAAGCGUGGGGAGCAAACAGG